UAUAUAUAAUUUUCUCAAAACCGAAUAAUGUUUCAGAUCUGUAGUAUUUCAAUUUUCAAUUCCAUCAGAGAAGUCGAACUAAUAAAGAACAAUAAUUAAAUUAUAACGCGAUAUCUCGAAAUUAUAUUAUUUCAUUCGGAGAAUUCAAUCUCGAAAUCGCGAGAGCGUGUAUUAUUUACAAAAUCGAAUGGCAAACUUCAAAAUGUGUCGAUGGUUUAUGCGAAUUGUUACGUAAUGGAGUCGAAGUCGAUGUCCAACCAAACGAUCCGCGGAUUCUAAUACAGCGAUGACAUCAGCGAAAUGAUUCGGUGAAUGAUCGUAUCAAAAUAUAUUAAAUGGUCGGUUAAAUUGAACUAAAGAGUUGGCUGCAUCUCUAUAUGCUUCGAAAAGCGGAAAAUUGCUGACCUUUCCUUACUUUUUAUAUUGUAUCCUCAAUCUGGAAUUGACAAUGAUUGGUGAUCCGUCUUUGAACCAUUGCAAGGCUGGUAAUGGGUUUCCUUUGACUCGACAUACCA